GAUGAAGAACGCAGCGAAAUGCGAUAAGUAGUGUGAAUUGCAGAAUUCAGUGAAUCAUCGAAUCUUUGAACGCACAUUGCGCCGCUUGGUACUCCAUGGGGCAUGCCUGUUCGAGCGUCAUUUGUACCUUCAAGCUCUGCUUGGUGUUGGGUGUUUGUCUCGCCUUUGCGUGUAGACUCGCCUCAAAACAAUUGGCAGCCGGCGUAUUGAUUUCGGAGCGCAGUACAUCUCGCGCUUUGCACUCAUAACGACGACGUCCAAAAAGUACAUUUUUACACUCUUGACCUCGGAUCAGGUAGGGAUACCCGCUGAACUUAAGCAUAUCAAUAAGCGGAGGA
rnacentral:misc_RNA from 1 species